rnacentral:rRNA from 1 species
GUGCCAGCCGCCGCGGUAAUACGAGUAGCGCAAGUGUUAUUCCUCUUGAUUGGGCGUAAAGGGUGCGUAGGUGGUAUAAUAAGUUGGAAAUUAAAAACUAUGCUAGUGUAUUGUAGAUUUCUAAUACUAUUAUACUAGAGUAAUGGUAAAGAUAGUGGAACUUCUCGCAUUAGAGUUGAAAUGCGUUGACACGAGAAGGAACCCCAAAGGCGAAGGCAACUAUCUAAUCAUUUCUGACAUUGAGGCACGAAGGCAUGGGUAUCAAAUAGGAUUAGAGACCCUAGUAGUCCAUGCAGUCAACUAUGAGUAUUAAAUGUUAGAUAUUUAUAUCUAAUGUUACAGCUUACGCGUUAAAUACUCCGCCUGGGGACUACGAUCGCAAGAUUAAAACCUUAAGAAAUUGACGGAGGUUAGAUACAAGCGGUGGAGCAUGUGGKUUAAUUUGAUAAAACGCGUAGAAUCUUACCAGUUCUUGCUAUCCUUAAACUUAUAGAUCCUUUAUUUAUGAGAUAAAAUCUUAUAAAUAAACAUCUCUUGAAUAAUAUAAAAUUAUUUUCUUGCUUUUUAUUUAAAUAGUAUAGUUUAUUAUUAUUAUUUAAAAUAAAAAUAGUUUUUGGACAGAUGCUGCAUGGCUGUCGUAAUUCCGUGCUGUGAAGUGUUAGAUUGAGUUCUUACAACGGAAAGAACCCCUAUUUUUAGUUGUUGUAUUUAUAUAGAGAAACUAAAAAAAUCACUUACAUAAUGUAAGAUGAAAGUGGGGACGACGUCAAGUCAUCAUGGCUCGUAUGGACUGGGCCACACAUGUGCUACAAUGGUAAAGACAAAAAGAAGCAAAGAUGUGAAUCUGAGCAAAUCUAUUAAAAUUUACCUUAGUUCGGAUCGUUCUCUGAAAUUCGAGAACGUAAAGUAGGAAUCGCUAGUAAUCGUGGAUAAGAACGCCACGGUGAAUCUGUUAUCUAACCUUGGACUCACCGCCCGUCAA